rnacentral:rRNA from 1 species
UGGGGGAUAUUGCACAAUGGGCGAAAGCCUGAUGCAGCGACGCCGCGUGGGGGAUGAAGGCUUUCGGGUUGUAAACCUCUUUCGCUAUCGAACAAGGCCCGCUUAGGGUGGGUUGAGGGUAGGUGGAGAAGAAGCGCCGGCUAACUACGUGCCAGCAGCCGCGGUAAUACGUAGGGCGCGAGCGUUGUCCGGAAUUAUUGGGCGUAAAGGGCUUGUAGGCGGCUUGUUGCGCCUGCUGUGAAAACGCGGGGCUUAACUUCGCGCGUGCAGUGGGUACGGGCAGGCUUGAGUGUGGUAGGGGUGACUGGAAUUCCAGGUGUAGCGGAGGAAUGCGCAGAUAUCUGGAGGAACACCGAUGGCGAAGGAAGGUCACUGGGCCAUUACUGACGCUGAGGAGCGAAAGCAUGGGUAGCGAACAGG